AAAAAAAAAAAAAAAAAAAAAAACCCCUGAGAGAAAACCUGUCUUUCCAGCCAGAGGAAGCAGGAAAAAAUGACCCUAUGGUCUGAAAAAUGUAGAACUAAUCCAUCUUUUUUUUUUCCCCCUUCUCUGCUUUCUGCCUGAGGGGCAUUCCUUUUGGCAAAAUGGAAAGUGGGCAGAAUUCUGUGCUCAUCCCAGAGCUGCACAUACCAGAGGCAGAGCCCAAGCAACACAGCCACACUCUGAACUGACGCUCGGAUCACCACUAGCAAACAGAAGGCAACGCAGGACCUGCGGACUCAGGCUAACAAGGCUGACUGCCCCACAAAACAGAAAGAAAAGAAACAUUCUUCAGGGAAUUGUAGCAGAGCACAGAGGCUCCCAACAUAAAACACAGUCCUCACUUUGAACAGCGGUCAGAACUGUAAAAAUGACCUUCCAACCUGAAACUGUGCCAUGUGCUGUGAAUAAUCAUUAAUGGGUAAAAUUGUGAUUUUUUCCUGUCUUUUGAAAAUUGUCAAAACAUUGGUAAUCUUGUACUGUUAGAAAUGUAUAAGGAAACAAUAAAUAUUUUUGUACGCUGUAAUUUAAAACAUUAGCAACACUGGGAAUUAAAGUGUUUGAUGUCUUCCUAAAAACCA